rnacentral:rRNA from 1 species
CGUGGAGGAUGAAGAAUUUCGGUUCGUAAACUCCUUUCGACCGAGAUGAAUACCCACGGACCCAACACGUCUGUGGGCUGACAGUAUCGAGAGAAGAAGCCCCGGCUAACUCUGUGCCAGCAGCCGCGGUAAUACAGAGGUGGCAAGCGUUGUUCGGAAUUACUGGGCGUAAAGGGCGCGUAGGCGGCCUUCUUAGUCAGACGUGAAAUCCCUAGGCUUAACUUAGGAACUGCGUCUGAUACUGGAAGGCUCGAGUUCGGGAGAGGAAUGUGGAAUUCCAGGUGUAGCGGUGAAAUGCGUAGAUAUCUGGAGGAACACCGGUGGCGAAGGCGGCAUUCUGGACCGAAACUGACGCUGAGGCGCGAAAGCCAGGGGAGCAAACGGGAUUAGAUACCCCGGUAGUCCUGGCCCUAAACGAUGAGUGCUUGGUGUGGCGGGUAUCGAUCCCUGCCGUGCCGAAGCUAACGCAUUAAAGCACUCCGCCUGGGGAGUACGGUCGCAAGGCUG